rnacentral:lncRNA from 1 species
GCCGAAAUGGUGCCACUUGUCCUCUUGUACCCUUUCGCCUCUAACUGCCCCCAACCGGCCCUCUUAACCGUCCAACUGCUUCCUGGCAGUUUCUCCAUCGAAAACCAACUCCCCUAGCCUUUGCCUAAGCCCUGGUUCGGCCUUGGCUACACAUGGCCCCAUCGUCCCACAGGAACCGCCGGCACGACUUGGUAACCGCUCGGCACUGGCCACACUGGUCCGGACCGGAACACUCCACCAAGCUGAGAUGAGCUGGUCACCAGCUGUCCCCAGCUGAGUGAGCUAGUCUAUAAGCUCCCGUGAGCUGACCAAGACUGAGUGAGCUAGCUCCUCACUUCCUCCAGCUGACUGAUCUUGAACCGGAACUCGCCUAGCUCCUGGAUCACUCGUCCAACUCUCUUUAACUUGCCUUUACCCUAUUCUGGUUAAGUCUCAGCUUCCUGAUGCCCUUAACCAUGCCAUUGAGCCAUGAUACGCUUGUCUUUAAGUCGUUUAACCUGACUGGUGCGUCUCCUCGCACCAUGGCUCGUCCCUCUCUAUCCUAUCUCGGAUCGGGGACACUAAGAGUCUCCCCCACUAGCAAUGGAUUCGUCCUCGAAUCCGUACUAAGUGUUUCUCCUUGAACGAACUGACCAUACCACUCAUGAUACUCUGCUUUCAUCCUUGUCUCGGUUUCCCAAGUGAUAACAUCCUUUCCGUUAUAGUCCCACACGACCUUGAUCAUUGGGAUUGUCUUCUUCCUGGUUGCCUUCUUUGUCCGAUCUAAAAUACUGGCCUUGUCUCUAAGGUUAGGUUCUUAACCAGAUCAGCAGGGAUCUCAGGCAACACAAUGUCCUGAUCCGUCAAGCAUUUGCGGAGCUGGGACACAUGGAACACAUUAUGGGACACAUGGCCGAUGGCAAAUUCAUCUUGUAAGCCACGGUUCCCACUCUCUCAAUGACCUUGAACGGACCUAAGUAUCUAGGAUCCAAUUUUUUUCUCCCAGCAACUUUGGUUCUUCCCUUGAAAGUAAUCAUCUUGAGGUAGACCAAGUCAUCAACCUCAAAC